rnacentral:rRNA from 1 species
AUUGAACGCUGGCGGCAUGCCUUACACAUGCAAGUCGAACGGUAACGGGCCUUCGGGUGCCGACGAGUGGCGAACGGGUGAGUAAUGUAUCGGAACGUACCUUUCAGUGGGGGAUAACGUAGCGAAAGUUACGCUAAUACCGCAUAUUCUGUGAGCAGGAAAGCAGGGGAUCGGAAGACCUUGCGCUGAUUGAGCGGCCGAUAUCAGAUUAGCUAGUUGGUGAGGUAAAGGCUCACCAAGGCGACGAUCUGUAGCGGGUCAGAGAGGAUGAUCCGCCACACUGGAACUGAGACACGGUCCAGACUCCUACGGGAGGCAGCAGUGGGGAAUUUUGGACAAUGGGGGCAACCCUGAUCCAGCCAUGCCGCGUGAGUGAAGAAGGCCUUCGGGUUGUAAAGCUCUUUCGGCCGGGAAGAAAUCGUAUGGGUUAAUACCCUGUGCAGAUGACGGUACCGGCAUAAGAAGCACCGGCUAACUACGUGCCAGCCGCCGCUGUAAUAC